GUUGUGGUUCAGUGGUAGAGCGCUUGCCUAGCAUGUGUGGGGCCCUGGGUUUGAUCCUCAGCAUCACA
rnacentral:tRNA from 1 species